UACAUGGGGUGCAAACGUUGCUCGGAAUUAUUGGGCGUAAAGCGCACGUAGGCGGUUCGUUAAGUCGGAUGUGAAAGCCCUCGGCUCAACUGAGGAAGUGCACCCGAAACUGGCGAGCUUGAGUACGAAAGAGGAUCGCGGAAUUCCCGGUGUAGAGGUGAAAUUCGUAGAUAUCGGGAGGAACACCAGUGGCGAAGGCGGCGAUCUGGGAAGAUACUGACGCGUGAGGUGCGAAAGCGUGGGGAGCAAACAGG
rnacentral:rRNA from 1 species